GUGCCAGCCGCCGCGGUAAUACGGGGGAUGCGAGCGUUGUCCGGAUUCACUGGGCGUAAAGGGCGCGUAGGCGGCCAUGUCAGUCGGGCUUGUAAGUGCGGGGCUCACCCCCGUGUUGGGCUCGGGACGGCAUGGCUGGGGCGCGGCAGAGGGAGACGGAAUGCCGGGUGUAGUGGUGAAAUGCGUAGAGAUCCGGCGGAACACCGGUGGCGAAAGCGGUCUCCUGGGCCGAGGGCCGACGCUGAGGCGCGAGAGCGUGGGGAGCGAACCGGAUUAGAUACCCGGGUAGUCCACGCCGUAAACGGUGGAUGCUAGGUGUGAGGGGUAUCGACCCCCCUCGUGCCGGCGCGAACGCAGGAAGCAUCCCGCCUGGGGAGUACGGCCGCAAGGCUAAA
rnacentral:rRNA from 1 species